UUGUUACACAGGUAAACGUGUGCCAUAGUGGUUUGCUGUACCUAUCAACCCAUCAUCUAAGUUUUAAGCCCCUCAGGCAUUAUCUGUUUAUCCCGAUGGACUUUUGACUCUAAGAACAAUGAUUUCACCAUACAGCAUUGCCUGUCUGUGAGGGGAAUUUUUUUUUUUUUUUUUUUUACAUUAAGGGGUUUGUGAAUGUGAAUUUAUUUGCUUGCCCUAACUACUCUUAUCUCUUCUGGAUUGUUCAGAGGUGUUUAGUUCCCUCAUUACUUCAAGGUUUGCUGCUGCAUAUUCUCCUCUUGCCCUUCACUAUAGGUUCUCGGUUUGAAAGGAAACACAGCUCACUGUGAGAUGCUUAAAUCAAAAGAAUCUGGUUUCUGGAAAUGUCAUUAUUUUAGGAGGGAGCACGGGAGGUAGAGAAGGAAAAUAGUUUAGAUUCUUGUGGGGAAAUGGAAAGCAAGAGGAAAAAUAGAUGUUCUGCUCAGAAAGGAAACUUCUCUAGGUUUUAAAAAUCAGUACGUGUUAAUUUUGCUAUAUUUUCUCUAGCAGUGGGAUUACUGCAUGAAUCUUACUGGGAGAAAGAACGGUUGCUCUAAACCAAGUCCUCUGUCAGUGAAGCACAGGCCCUCCUUUCUUCACUGAUCCAGACCUACCUUUCUACUGCCAACUAAAGAAUGAUGAGAUUCAAAAAUUUGGAAAGGAGAGCUUUAUUUCUCAUAAAGUGUUGCAGCCUGAAAGUGGCCAUUCUUCUAGGUUUGGAAGCAUAGCCUCCCACCAGAAGCCAGAAACAGAUACUUUGAGAGAGGGGCAAAGGGAUCAAGAAUUUAUACUGAGCAGAGUGGCCAAAUCUACAUAUUCAAUAAGCUACAGAAAGACUCAUGAAUAUUAAUGAAAGGAGAAACAUGUACAUGUACAAUUGAGCUUCAUGCCCCUUCUUGGGUCUCAUGUGCAAAAAGCAGUGGUGUUAGCAUGAUCUGAGGGUGGAGUGUUUGGCCCUCUGAUGUCAAAAGGUGAAGCAGAGGACACAAAGACCCUUACUGUGCAUUCUCCAUAGACUGGCCAAAACCACUCUGUAGUCGGUGGUGUCUCAUCAGGCAAAAAGGAGGGGCAGCGUCAGAUGGAUGUUGGACAUCAGUGGUGGAGUUCUUUGAAAGGGCCGGUUUCUCUUUAGUCUUUAGGGAAGAAAAGCUAAUGGUAGUUAGCGAGGGAGGAGGUCUAGCAAGGUGUGUCCAACUUCCUAUCCCUCGUCAUGGCCAAGAACUUAGUUUUCAAGAUUAUCUUGGGGUCCCCUUCGCCAGGAGAGUGUCCAUUCAGUUGCUUGGGGGGCUUAGGAUUUCAUUUUUAGUUUACAAUACUUUAGACAUCUCCUGAUGGUCCAUCGUAGGUCUGUUCUCUUUUGUAUCUCUUUUAGAGAUAUUAGUUUUCUUGGGAUGGAUAUAAGGAAUGUGGCUGUGACUCAAUCCUUCAUUAUGAUUAGAAUAAUAAAUGCUGAGGAUCAAGGUGUAAGCCUUGGGACAAUCAUAUUUAGGUGAUGGGAGGAAAAAGUGCUGUUUUAUCAGGGGAGAGAGAAAAAGCACUUAGAGAGGAGUUGAUGAUAUGUAGGAUGUGAGACUGCCGUGGAUAUCAGGGAAGGGAGACUUAUAAGAAGGAGAAAUUUGGUCAACUGUGUCAAAUGCUUCAGCGAUCAGGAUGAGUAAUGAGGAACGGCCAUUUGAUUUGAUUUGAUCAUUCAGAUAUCUUUAAAGACCUUUAAGAGGGCAGUUUCAGUAGAGGUAAUGGACUGGAGGAAAGUAAUAAGGAUGGUGAAGAAAUAGAGGCGGUAAUUAUUUUGAGAUAUUUGGUUUGUCAAAAUCAGAGAGAUUUUAUCAUAUCUUGAAGAGAUGUCAUAUUUGAAAGAAUUUUUCUUUAAUUUAGUUGAGAAAUAAGUAUUUUUAUGGGCAAAAAUUAAAGAUCUAGUUAAGAAGGAGAUUUUGAAGAUGUCAGAGAGCAGAGAUAAUUGAUAGGUAAGUGUGUACCGAUUUUGAAGAAAGGCUGAGAAUCUAAUGUCAAGAUCACACUGAGAAAACUGUUAAUAGUAUUUUUCUUUGUAUGGUUAUGUUCUUUUUUAACUUUUAAUUUCUUCUUUGUUAUCUUUUAUAUCUUCUAGAUUUUCUAUAACAAGCAUCUAUAACUUUCAAAUUUUUAAUAGCUCUUAAAAGUUAAGCAGAUUUAAAAUGAUAAAACAUGUUCAUGACACUAAGAAACUAUAAAAACAUAUAAGAUGAAAAUUAUAACUUCCCACAUGCCCUAAUAUUUUAUUUCCAUUUCUUUAAAGCAACCACCAUCAAAAAUUUACUUGGUAAUCUGGGUGUGGUGGCACAUGCCUGUAGUCCCAGUUACUCAGGAGGCUGAGGCGGGAGUAUCACUUGAGCCCAGGAAUUUGAGACAAGCCUGGGCAACAUAUUGUGACCUCUCAUCUCAAAAUAAAUUUUUUUUUCUUGGUAGCCCUUCAGUAAUUUUUUAUACACGUAUGUUUUAAAAUCAGAAAACUGUAUUGAAAACUCAUUAGUAAAGAAGUUAAGCUUGAAAAGGAUAAUACCACCUGGCUUAUGAUUUUCUGAUCCCUCUUGAAAGACUAAUAACAUGAGAAGAGAAGAAUGUAAAUAGGCAUAAACUUGUAAGAAUGAAGAUAGUGGAAGAGAAGAAAAUAGCAGACAAAAGACAUCAACAAAAUAUUAGGAGGUGAAAAACAGAUGGCCUAGUGAUAUCUGAUUAGGAGAGUACAGAAAUCUACAACUUCAGUACUCACAACACGGGAAGCAGUAAAAGGAAGUCAGUUCUGUUGCAAAUUCAGUGCUGAUGUCACUAAAACCAGGAAGAUGGGCUGGAAGUGUGUCUGCUCUCCCCCUACCCACAGGUGCAAGGAGUUGCCCUUUCCCAUCUGUUAGAAGACUGGAGAUGAAACAGAGAGGCACUGGACUUGGGACAUUAGCUGAAGACAGGAAAGGUCGUAUCCUGAAGAGAGAGACCUCAGACCAUCUUAUCACCCGGCUGGCAGAAUGUUAGCAACUAGGCUUAAACCAUACCAAGAUAUUGGAGGGUUUCUUUCUGGGGAGAUUGACUAGGCCAAGAGAAAAGACUGCUGUUAUGUGGAGACUGACAUUUGUGAAAUGGCUGAGUCCCCGUGGAUCAACCUCUGAUGAAGCCCAGCGCUUGGUAAUUACCACCCAAGCAUAAAGAUCUUUCAGUCAGCUGUGUAGUGCCUCAUUCUCAAAUGUAAAUGGACAGCUAUGGAUCAGUAAAUAUUUCUAGAAAGCCUCUCACAUAAAAAAACAGAGACCAAACAAAGCAUUAGAAAAAACACAGAAAACAGACAAGCAGGAGGCAGAAGAAUACAGAACAAAUGAUAUAGUUAUGAUCCUUCCAAAGAAAAUAUACUGCUUUCACAAAGGGUAGGAAUCUGUGCAAAUAGAACCCUUUGAAGCCAAGAAAGACUUUUUGUUCUUAAAAAAUGUGAUAGUAGAAAUUAAAACAUCAACAAAUGGAUUAGCAAAAUAAUGUUUAGGAAAUCACUCCUGAAAGGACAGAAAGGAAAAAAAGUGAUAAAAAUGUGAGAAGUAUGGAUAAUAGGAGUUCCAGGGAGAGAAAUAUAAAAGAGAGGGCAGAAGUUAUUAAAGAAACAAUAAAAGGCUGUUUCCAGAGCUGAAGGACCUGUUUUCUGGUUGCAAGGGAACACCAAGUGUCCAGCACAAUGAAUAUAAAAAGACAUAUCCAAGGCAUAUUAGUGACAUUUCAGAAUCCUUAAGUUAACAUCUUACAAACAUUUAAAGAAGAAAAAUCAUUAUAAUAAAAUGGUUACUUCUAAGAAUGAUGUCAGAUUACUGAAUAGAAACACUGAAAGUCAGAAAACAAUGAAUAAUGGCUUCAAAAUCUAAGGGAAAUUAUUUCUAAACAUUCUGGAAUUUUGUUACCCAGCCAAACUAGGAAGUGGUUUCAACAUCCAAAGCCUCAAAAAUUGUACUUUGCUUGUACCCUUUCUCAAGAAAGAAAUAGAUUGUAAGCUAUUCCAAAAUGAGGGCAUACUAAAAAAAAGAAAGAAAGAAUAAGGUGUGAACCCUGAAUAUGUGAGACAGGUCUCAGUUAACUUAGAAAGUUGAUUUUGCCAAGAUUGAGGACGUGCCCAUGACACAGCCUCAGGAGGUCCUGACGACAUGUGCCCAAGGUGGUCAGAGCACAGCUUGGUUUUAUACAUUUUAGGGAGACAUAAGACAUCAAUCAACAUAUGUAAGAUGUAAAUUGGUUCCAUCCAGAAAGGCAGGAGAACUCAAGCAGGGAAGGGGCUUCCAGGUCACAGGUAGGUGAAAGACAGUGAAAAAGAUAUGACCUAACUGAUUCCAUCUUGCUUCUAACCUCCAAGCUGUCUUUGUUCAUUCCUGGACUUUCGGAGGAACUUAGUUUAUAGUUUAGUUUUGAAACAAAGAUGAUGAUAGUCCUUUCCCAAAACAAACCUUCUUACUGCCUGUGGACUAGACUGCCCAAAACCACAAGAUUAGAAGUUAUGGUAAUUUUACUAAAUAAUUCAAGAUGUAGCUAUUUUCAUUAAACCAAUAUUAAUGUCUUAUUUAUUAAAAAUUACCCAAGCAAAGAUCAUUCUGUUUUGGGCUGGGUUUAUAGUUAGGUAACCCCAAUGCCAAAUUUUGACACCUUAUAGAAUUUGCCAGGGAUAAGUAUGAGAUUGCUUGGUCAAUAAAUGCAAACAAAAAUGUAUGCUAGGCUGGGCAUGGUGGCUCAUGCCUGUAAUCCCAGCACUUUGGGAGGCCGAGGCAGGUGGGUCACCUGAGGUCAGGAGUUCGAGGACAGCCUGACCAACAUGGUGAAACCCUGUCUCUACUAAAAAUACAAAAAUUAUCUGGGCAUAGUAGUGGGCGCCUGUGAUCCCAGCUACUUGGGAGGCUGAGGCAGGAGAAUAGCUUGAAGCCGGGAAGUGGAGGUUACAGUGAGCUGAGAGCACGCCAUUGCACUCCAGCCUGGGAGACAGAGCAAAACUCCAUCUCAAAAAAAAAAAAAAAAAAAGUAUGCUGGAAAUUCUUAAGACAAUUCUAAUAUUACCGUACCUGUAAUUUUAAAGCUAGCUUAUUUAUUAAAGAUUCUACUUAAGUCAUGUACACUUGAAAAAGCAUUUGACUAGUCUAUCCUUUUUUCUGAUAAAAUGUUUGAUUUAAGCACUUUUAUUUUUCUUUAAGCCCAUUCAUUAGAGCUCUUUUAUAUAUUUUUAGCAGUGAAACAUUGUGUACACAGCACAUAAAUAAAGAGAUAUAUUAGGCAUACCGAUAGAAGUACAUUUAUAGAUUCCUAAGACCUCUUCUUUUGUGUUUUUCCUAUCUUAGACUUGCAAACUCUUGAUAAUCUGUUUCAUCACUCUGGCAGUUGUCAGCUAAAUAGCCCUAAAUCUGCAUAUUGAAGGAAACAACUCUUAGUGAAAAAUCAGAUAGCAAAAUUUACAUCUCAAGGUACUGAAAGAAAAAGUCUGGUAGAGCUGGAGAGAGAUUAAAGAUGGAUGUCAAGCACAAAAUUAUACAAAUCUACCAUAGGACUGUAAGAGGAGACCAGUUUUAUUUAGAUAGGGACUACUUGUCUUUUAACUGGAUCUGAGCUCUGGGCAGAGCCCACAUUGAAUCCUGGGUCUCCAAAAAAGGAGAAUUAUUAUGAGGCUAGACCAUGUGAUGCUUUUACAGUGCACUUUAAAAAAGGUUUUUUUAAACAAAGACUUUUCUGAGUGUCUAAACUACACUCUCCCUAAAAACCUGAGAGUAGCCUCUGUUGCAAUAAUUAUUUUAGUCAAUAAAUCAGAUAACAAAAUACAAAAGCAAAUAGUUUAAGAGUUGAGAUGAACUGGUCUGUUUAUGCUCUUGGGAUUCCAUAAGGAAAAACCGGUUUCUCCCCCAAAGGGAGUCUGGCACUUUCUCUGUUUUCUUUAAGGCUGUUAUAAACUAUUUUAGGUUCCUCAUUCAGCAGAGGGUGCAAGAGAAAGAAGAGACAGAAGAAGUAAAUGAAGAAAACAGAAUUCAGUCAACUGAGAAGAAAAAAACUUUUGCUCAAAAAAAAAAAAAAAAAAAAAGAAAAAGAAAAAGACAAGGUCCUAGGAGAAAAAAAAUGCCAACAUGAAGGCCUUUUAAAUACAAACACAUAGACACACAUGCAUACAUUUUUGGAUGUUAGCUUGUAAUUAAGCUGACUUUUAACCACUGAGCUCCUUAAAAAAAAUCUUUUUAAAUCUUAUGACCGUAGUUCAGCUGGAACAAAUUGCUGUUAUUUUAGAAGUACCAAGUAUCAAACCAGAAAGGGCUUGAUUUAGGAAACAAACCCAGGCUAUUGUGGUGGAAAAAAAGAUGGCAGAACCCUUAGCUAUGGAACAGCAGCGUGAGACGACAGCCAUUGCUCUUUUGGUUGGCCUGACUAGCAAAAAGGUGGCCUUGUUAUGUAAAUAAAGCCUUUUAAGUAGUCAAAAA